GCUUGCCAGUUUUCUGAGGAUCACUAGAAUGUGAAGAGAGCUACUUUUCUAAUGGGAAAACAGCUUCAAAUAUACAAAUAAGGGUCAAGUUGAGAAGAUGGAUCAUAUGCCUAUCUGCUUCCAGUGUCCUCUUGCUUCCAGACUGAAGGAGCUGUGUUCUCCAGGACAUAUGAGGAAACUGAAGCUAAGACAGUGUGGUUGGAGGAAUGAAUGGCCCCCAAAGAAGUUUACAGUCUCAUUUCCAGAACUGUGAUUAUGGUUUCUAACAAGGGAAUUAUUGACAUCAUCUACAAGGCAUAUUAACCAUGAAGAAAGACAGAUUUCAACUGUACGUCCUCUUUCUGCAGAGACUGAAGAAGAGGUAGGUGUGGCCGUGAAAGACCAGCUUAAUACCACUUGUGACCUUUGCUUUAUACAGGUGACCUGUGGUUGAUUUAUGAAUAACGGGAACAUAACCAGAUUUCCUUGUGACAUUCUCACUAUUGCUCUUAAUUCAACAUAUAUUUGUGACAUUGACGUGGUUGUUCACUUGAGCCUGCUCUAGAUAUUUAAUUGAUAUAGCCAGCUAGCUAAGCAGCAAUAACUUGUAUCUUUCUAGGUUAUAGAACUAUGUUUGCGGAAAGAAAACAUGUCUCUCCCGAUUUCAUCAGCAUGAUCAAACAUUAAUGAUGUGUAUCUGCAAAAAAUUGUGAGAGAAUUGGGUAUAUCAUCUUAUCAACACUAUCAUUAAGAACAAUGAGAGGAAGAAACAGAAAAAUCUUUCCUGGAUUUUUUUUCUUGAUCUUCUUUAAAAAGAAAACCAGAGAUUUAAACCUCCCCUCAGGGGAUCAUUUUAGCUACGCUUAUGACUUAGGAAGGUUACAUGAGGAAGAACAGUUUCUGUCCCUGAGAUGGUUGAAAAGAGAAGAUGAAGUGGGUGAGAGAAGGUUGAAGUAAUUGGCAUCAGAAUCUACAACUUCUUGUGGAUUGAAUAUGUAUGUGUGUGAGAGAGAGGGAGACAGACAGGGAGAUGGAGGGAAAGAGGGAAGGAAGGAAGGAGGGAGAAUGAGAUAUGAAAGUGGUUUAGACCUGAGCAAUUGGCUGGGUAUAGCUGUUACUGAAACAGGAAACCUCUGGAGGGAAACCACCUGGGAGAUGGGGGGAUGACCUCAGUUUGAGACCUACGUUGCAUUUGGGUUUCGCGUGGAUAUCCAUUUGGAGACAUCCAGGAAGUAGUUGGAGAUAAGGAUUUGAUGUUCAUGGUAGAGAGUGACCUGAAAGAUUUAGGGGGACUUUACAAUCUUGGGAAUAAGAUAGCCCAGGAGUGCCUGUUGUGGCUCAGAAGGUUAAGAACCCUGUUGUCUCUGUGAGGAUGCAGGUUCCAUCCCUGACCUCUUUCAGUCGGUUAAGGAUCUGGCAUUGCCACAAGCUGCAAUGUAGAUCGAAGAUGCAGCUCAAGUCCUGUGUUGCUGUGACUGUGGUGUAGGCCAGCAACUGCAGCUCUAAUUUGACCCCUAGCCUGGGAACUUCCAUAUGCCACAGGUACAGCUGUAAAAAGGAAAAAAAAAAAAAAAAAAAAAA
rnacentral:lncRNA from 1 species